rnacentral:rRNA from 1 species
GUAGGCUGGUUUUCCAGGCAAAUCCGGAAAAUCAAGGCUGAGGCGUGAUGACGAGGCACUGCGGUGCUGAAGCAACAAAUGCCCUGCUUCCAGGAAAAGCCUCUAAGCAUCAGGUAACAUCAAAUCGUACCCCAAACCGACACAGGUGGUCAGGUAGAGAAUACCAAGGCGCUUGAGAGAACUCGGGUGAAGGAACUAGGCAAAAUGGUGCCGUAACUUCGGGAGAAGGCACGCUGAUAUGUAGGUGAAGUCCCUCGCGGAUGGAGCUGAAAUCAGUCGAAGAUACCAGCUGGCUGCAACUGUUUAUUAAAAACACAGCACUGUGCAAACACGAAAGUGGACGUAUACGGUGUGACGCCUGCCCGGUGC